rnacentral:tRNA from 1 species
GGUGGUGUGGUUCAGUAGUAGAAUACUUGCUUAUUAAACAGGACCAAAAGCCAGGGUUCCAGUCCCAGCACCAAUC